AAAACAUGUCUUUUUGAUUUUAAUUUAAAGUCUAAUCUGCCCACUGAUUUAUAUUGAAGGGCUGCAGUAAUUUGACUGUACAAAGGUAGCAUAAUCAUUAGUCUUUUAAUUGAAGACUUGUAUGAAGGAUUUGAUAAAAUAUAAACUGUCUCUAAUUUAUAUUUAAAAUUUAAUUUUUUAGUUAAAAAGCUAAAAUAAAUUUAAAAGACGAGAAGACCCUAUAGAGUUUUAUAAUUUAUAAUUUAAAAUAUUUAUAUAAAAUUUUAAUAUAAUAGAUUAUAAUUUAUUUUAUUGGGGUGAUAGAAAAAUUUAUAAAACUUUUUUUUUUCAUUAACAUAAAUAAUUGAAUAUAUGAUCCUAAAUAAAGAUUAAAAGAAAAAAUUACCUUAGGGAUAACAGCGUAAUUUUUUUUUUUAGUACAAAUAAAAAAAAAAGUUUGCGACCUCGAUGUUGGAUUAAGAUAAAAUUUAAAUGCAAAAGUUUAAAAUUUUGAUCUGUUCGAUCAUUAAAAUCUUACAUGAUCUGA
rnacentral:rRNA from 1 species